GGUUCAUCGCUGCCAUUGUGAUCUAAAUCAUCGUCUUUUUAUCCCUAUCUUGUCAAGCAUGCUUCCCCUUGUUUCUUAAUCUUCAAAUUUUCUUCGUUCCCUUAGAAGGCAAGAUGAAACCACAAAUAACAACUCUUGCAUUAAUCAUAUUCAACAAAACCUUAGCAUUUUUUUUUUUCUGAUUAUUGACAUAUCUGAUCAUUUCCGUCUAUUCUUCUUUCUCUUGAUUCCCUUCUUCGAGGACACAUGCCUAUAAAAAUAACACAGAUAAAAACUAUGUCCAUUGAUCAAAGUUGGAGGGAUAUGAAAAUAAUAGAUAAAGGAGGGCUUCCAUGCAUAUAUGACAAAGGAGUGCAGACAUGACGUGUUGUUUCAAGGCAAUGACCUAGCCCAACCUCUUCCAUUUU